CAUGUGUUCAGGAGUAACAUCCAGAAUAUUAAUAGGACCUGUUGGUGGCCCAGGAACAUCAAGAACAGUAAGAUGUACGGCUACUGUUUUGCUACCGGCUGCAUUGGAAACUGUGAUUUGAUAUUCCCCAGUGUCUCUCCUUAAGCAGUUCUUAAUGAGAAUAGACGCCUUGAUGGCUCCUCUGGCAGUUCUUGAUGACCAUGGAUGAGCUAAUGGCUGUGGUCUCAAUGGUGGCUUCUUGAGAUUAUUUACAGCUGUGAUGGUAUAUAAGCCAGUGUCACUCCUGCGAGACUGCGGAAUAACUAAAGUGCAAGUAUCAUCUACCACCAGUUUGUUGACAUGGGUGUCAUAGAGAACAGGUUCUUUGUUAUCAGGCUUCUUUGGAGGAGCUUUAAACCAGGAGCAUGCAGAGAAAUUGCUUUAGCCUCUGAUAAAUAAAACAGACUGCCAUGGAGAAAAUUACAGCGAGGAAAUUACAGACAUCAUCUCCUUUGAACAGGGAAAAGGUAACAGCUGAUUGAGAAACUUACCAAACUGAUAUUUGGCUGUUAUUGGAGAGGCCUGAACUGGUUCACCAACACCAUACAUGUUUUCUGCAGCAACUCUGAAGAUGUACUCUUUAUUGGGGAUUAAUUUGGUGGCCUUGAAGUUUGUAUCCUUGACGGUGGAUGAGAGCUUGUGCCACACUUCACUAUCAGUUGCUCGUCUCUCCACAACAUAGUUUGUGAUCUUAGAUCCACCAUCAUCGCGUGGU
rnacentral:antisense_RNA from 1 species